rnacentral:misc_RNA from 1 species
AAUUAAUUCAGCAGGAAAGUAUGCACUUUCGUAUCAAUCAAGAUUGAAUUCUAUUCAAACUAUUUUAAAAUCUAAAUAUAUCAAAUUGGUACACUCCGAAAUUAUUGAUUCUGAAUGCAAUCUAAGAGAAGAAAUGCAACAACUGGCCAUAGAAUCAGCGAAUUUCCAGUGCUUUCUUUACAUAAUUUUUUUCUUUUCAUUGGAAAAAAUGCUACAUCCAGGAUUAUUUUCUUAUGUAUCUCAUCCAAUCUAUCAAAACUUACUUUAUCUUAAAAUUUCUGCACUUGUCUAUCCAACGCACUCUUCCAUUCUUUUUUUACAAGGCCAAACCUAAAACACUGAGAGCUAAUGGCCACUUCUCCUGUCAUUGCAGCACUUAACUGUCUCAAGUUUUGGAUCGUCGGAAUAGGGUUUGCCCAGUGAAAUUUCCUUGUUGCCAAUCCCUCACCUACCUUGGAGAUAUUGUAAAUGGGAUUUUUGUUGGUGUGUGGUUGUUCUCUGCAUGCUUUCAGGUUUGAAUUUUAGAGAGAGGGCAUAUUGAAGACCUAAUUUUGCCGAGCUCGAUGAAGAGGUAAUAGCGUAUGGAUCCAAGGAGGAAUCUUUGUUACACCACAGCUGAGAAGGCCAUCCUGUUGACAUAGUUUGCUAGAGCUCUAUUGCGGGUCCUUAUUCUUUCGAUCUCCGUCCUGCAUCUCCAGGAUCUCCUUCUACACCACGGCAGGAAGGGCCAUCCUGUUGGCAUAGUUUGCCAGAGCUCUAUUGCGGCUCCUCUUCUCAAUGCAUAGUGUUUUCUUGUCCCUAUUGUAGAUUUGGUAGGCUCAGGUUGUUCUGUCAAUAUGCUGUGCGUGGAUAGUCAUCCUUCGGAGCUUCUCGCAUGACUUUCUUGUGUGGUCUAGCUUCGGUCUGCUUGCUGCUCGCAAAGAUGGCAACUGUGUUUAGGGUUCUGAAUUUGGGAUUUGAUUUGCUAUUGUGAGUUUGGUUGGGUUGGGUUGGGUUGGCUUGUAUGUAUUGUUUGGGCAGUUUAUUAUAGUUCAAUAUCGACGUCCCCUUCUUUUUCAGGACUUAGCCCAAAUUGUAUCUGUUUGACCCAUGGGCCUUUAAUGGAUGCCUUUUCAAAAAAAUGUUUUGGGUCGUCCUUAAAAGUGAUGAUUCCUUCCUGACACGGUUCCGUUAGCGAGACAACCACAAU